rnacentral:piRNA from 5 species
GCAGAGCAGCUCCCUCGCUGCGAUC